rnacentral:lncRNA from 1 species
GUGGCACUCGGGGGAAGGGCAUUUGCAGGUGACCAGCCAAUCGUUACUCAACUGCAGGGAAACAGGUGGGGAGGCCGAGGAACAGAAGAGGCCAACAGGUGCGGCAAACGAGGCAGCUUAGGGUUGCUUUGUUUAGGCACCAUGCAAAGGCGCUCCUGUUUGGCCCCCAUGUGGACGCAGCUCUUGGCCAAAGCCGCUUUCUAGCUCUGCUGAUGCCACGUGCUCGCUCUACCAGUCAGCACUCCUCUGUUCACCAGACUUCAUGGACACACCUUGGCAACAGUGGAGAAGCCAUUANCUCUUGUGGCAGUUAGAUGCGGGACCAUCUGCAGGCAAAGACUGCAGGAGCUUCAAUUCAUCCCAAGCAUGUGGAUCCUCUCCAGAGAUCCACUCAAGGUGAGUUUG